rnacentral:lncRNA from 1 species
GUCUGCAUGUGCAUGCGUUUGUGUGCCUGCGGUGGUGAUAACGCGGUCUGUGCAUGUGCUUCAGGUACCCGUGCGUCUGUAUGCCUGUGUGUGUGCAUGUGUGUGUACCUGUGUGUGCGCCCUCUGCGUGCCCUGUUCGGGCAUGUACUGUGCAUAUGUGUGGUGCCCGUGUGUGGUUAUCGUGCAGCUCACAGCCAUUGCUGUGAACUCUGGACCUUGGUGACUUUGCUGUGUCCUUUGCUGUACCCAGCGGUGAUCUCUGUCGCUGUUUUCCUAAAUUUCAUCUCUCGCUAAGUUAAUAAGUGCUUUGAGUGCUUCUUUUCCAUGUCUAUGUGUGUUCAUGCUCAUUCUACCACCUGUUAUCACUCCUCACUGCUCUCAGCAGACCCCAAAUCGUCAUCUUUUUCAGGAAAUCCUAGAUCAGGAAUAAACCUCAGCAUAUUGAGAACUGUGUCCUCUGAGUUAGAUAAGAACGAAGAGGAAACAUUAUCCAGAGUUUCAUAACACAGGGUCCAUAGAUGUCUUUAGGAUGGAUAAAAUCAUAUAAAAUCAUAAAUCAUAUGUGAAGUGUGUGUGUGAGAUCAUAUUAUUGAAUGAACCUAGUGAGGUUAAAUAAGAAAAAGUAAAUUUGUUUUUUUAUCUCAACAGGAGCACCCCUAAGCUAUGUUCGGCCUUUGUACUGAGAGAGGAAGUUGCAUCUUUGGGUGGACACAGCCUGUGGCUCCUGUUGUACAAAGGGCCAGGCCCAGGAGAAGAAUGGAUUGGAGAAGGGACACCAUGUUUCACAGCUGUGACAUUUGCCAUCGGGCCUCAGGACACCCAAUGGCAGAGGUACCGUUACUGACUUUUACAUUGAUUGGUGCGUUAGUGUUCUUGGAUGUUCCUCCCCCAGCAUCCUCCAAUGCAUGUCCAUCACUGUGCGUCCUGCUUCUGCAGCCAUCCGCUCUUCUCUCUCAGUCUCCGGAACUGCCCUGCCCUCCCUGUGCAGACUCUAAAUGUCAGGGUGUCUUAGCAUCCCCCACACAGUUCAUGUGGAUGAAGUGA